rnacentral:rRNA from 1 species
GAUGAACGCUGGCGGCGUGCCUAAUACAUGCAAGUCGAGCGAACAGAUAAGGAGCUUGCUCCUUUGACGUUAGCGGCGGAAGGGUGAGUAACACGUGGGUAACCUACCUAUAAGACUGGAAUAACUCCGGGAAACCGGGGCUAAUGCCGGAUAAUAUUUAGAACCGCAUGGUUGUAAAGUGAAAGAUGGUUUUGCUAUAACUUAUAGAUGGACCCGCGCCGUAUUAGCUAGUUGGUAAGGUAACGGCUUACGAAGGCCACGAUACGUAGGCGACCUGAGAGGGUGAUCGGCCACACUGAGACUGAGACACGAUCCAGACUCCGACGGGAGGCAGCAGUAGGGAAUCUUCCGCAAUGGGCGAAAGCCUGACGGAGCAACGCCGCGUGAGUGAUGAAGGGCUUCGGAUCGUAAAACUCUGUUAUUAGGGAAGAACAAAUGUGUAAGGAACUGUGCACGUCUUGACGGUACCUAAUCAGAAAGCCACGGCUAACUACGUG